GUGGGGAAUAUUGGACAAUGGGCGCAAGCCUGAUCCAGCAAUGCCGCGUGGGUGAAGAAGGUCUUCGGAUCGUAAAGCCCUUUCGACAGGGACGAUGAUGACGGUACCUGUAGAAGAAGCCCCGGCUAACUUCGUGCCAGCAGCCGCGGUAAUACGAAGGGGGCUAGCGUUACUCGGAAUUACUGGGCGUAAAGGGCGCGUAGGCGGCUCUGUUAGUCAGGCGUGAAAUUCCUGGGCUUAACCUGGGGACUGCGCUUGAUACUGCAGGGCUUGAGGCCGAGAGAGGGUGGUGGAAUUCCCAGUGUAGAGGUGAAAUUCGUAGAUAUUGGGAAGAACACCGGUGGCGAAGGCGACCACCUGGCUCGGUUCUGACGCUGAGGCGCGACAGCGUGGGGAGCAAACAGGAUUAGAAACCCUAGUAGUCC
rnacentral:rRNA from 1 species